rnacentral:rRNA from 1 species
ACUGCUCAGUAACACGUGGCUAAUCUGCCCUUGGGACCGGAAUACCCCCGGGAAACUGGGGCUAAUUCUCGAUAGGUGAAGAACUCUGGAAUGAGUCUUUGCCAAAAAGACGUUUGCGUUAUGCUCGUAGACGUCGCCCAAGGAUGAGGCCGCGACCGAUCAGGUUGUUGGUGAGGUAAUGGCUCACCAAGCCUUUUACCGGUGCGGGCCGUGAGAGCGGGAGCCCGGAGAUGGGCACUGAGACAAGGGCCCAGGCCCUACGGGGCGCAGCAGUCGCGAAAACUUUGCAAUACACGAAAGUGUGACAGGGCUAUCCCGAGUGCCAUCCGCUGAGGAAGGCUUUUACCCAGUCUAGAACGCUGGGGGAAUAAGGAGAGGGCAAGUCUGGUGUCAGCCGCCGCGGUAAUACCAGCUCUCCGAGUGGUGUGGAUGUUUAUUGGGCCUAAAGCAUCCGUAGCUGGCUAAGUUAGUCCCUUGUUAAAUCCACCGAAUUAAUCGUUGGAUUGCGGGGGAUACUGCUUGGCUAGGGGACGAGAGAGGCAGACGGUAUUUCCGGGGUAGGGGUGAAAUCCUAUAAUCCCGGGAAGACCACCAGUGGCGAAGGCUGUCUGCUAGAACGCGCCCGACGGUGAGGGAUGAAAGCUGGGGGAGCGAACCGGAUUAGAUACCCGGGUAGUCCCAGCUGUAAACGAUGCAGGCUAGGUGUUUGGACGGCCACGUGCCGUUCUAGUGCCGCAGGGAAGCUGUUAAGCCUGCCGCCUGGGGAGUACGAUCGCAAGAUUGAAACUUAAAGGAAUUGGCGGGGGAGCACA